rnacentral:misc_RNA from 1 species
ACGAAUUGGAUCAUGCACGAGUACCGCCUCUUAGAAUCCUCUCGCAAAAAUGGAAGCUCAAGGCUUGAUGAUUGGGUUCUAUGUCGGAUUUAUAAGAAGAACUCGGGUGCCCAAAAACCCAUUUCGAGUGUUUCUACCAAGGAACAUAGCAGCAAUGGAUCAUCUUCUUCUUCCUCUUCCCAUCUCGAUGAUGUUUUGGACACGUUGACGGAGAUGGAUGACCGUUUCUUUGCUGUUCCUGGCACCAACCAGCUAAAAGCAAUGCAACCUCCUGAAGAGAAAAUCAACUUCAAUAAUCUGGGUACUGGUAAUUUUGAUUGGGCGAGUCUAGCUGGGUUGAACGCGGUGCCUGAACUCGUUCCGAGCGGGCAAGCACAGGCUCAAACUCAAGGGAUGGUGAAUUACACGAAUAACGGUAACGACAUAUAUGUCCCUUCAUUACAGCAUCAAAUUGGACACAUGGAUUCAAAGUCAGGCAACAACUCUUUUGAAGAGGAGGUUCAUAGCGGAGUAAGAACUCAGAGAGUUAAUAACUCAGGGUUAUUUCAACAAAACUCGAGCGUGUUGACUCAGAACUUCUCUAACCCGCUUGACCCGUAUGGGUUUAGGUACUCGACCCAACCGGGUAGUGGAUUUGGGUUUAGACAGAAUUAGAGCAGAAUUUUAGGAGUGCAUGUCCAAUUUUACUGUAGAGAAUAGACAAGAGGAGUGCAUUUCUGUAAAUAUCUUGCAUUCUUUGGGGGCGAGGAGGGGAAAAAAAAAGUUGGGAACUUUAUUAAUAGGGAAAAUGAAAAUUUCCCUACUUUAUUUAAUUAUUAUUACUAUUAUUUUUGGGUGUAUUAGGGGAUUAGAUUCAAUGGUUACAACUGUAUGAUUUAAUAUGAUAAUUAAAUUGACCAAGUUGUAAUUUUGAGACCAA